AGUGAACGCUGGCGGUAGGCCUAACACAUGCAAGUCGAACGGCAGCACAGUAAGAGCUUGCUCUUACGGGUGGCGAGUGGCGGACGGGUGAGGCAUACAUCGGAAUCUACUUUUUCGUGGGGGAUAACGUAGGGAAACUUACGCUAAUACCGCAUACGACCUACGGGUGAAAGCAGGGGAUCUUCGGACCUUGCGCGAUUGAAUGAGCCGAUGUCGGAUUAGCUAGUUGGCGGGGUAAAGGCCCACCAAGGCGACGAUCCGUAGCUGGUCUGAGAGGAUGAUCAGCCACACUGGAACUGAGACACGGUCCAGACUCCUACGGGAGGCAGCAGUAGGGAAUAUUGGACAAAGGGCGCAAGCCUGAUCCAGCCAUACCGCGUGGGUGAAGAAGGCCUUCGGGUUGUAAAGCCCUUUUGUUGGGAAAGAAAAGCAGCAGGUUAAUACCCCGCUGUUCUGACGGUACCCAAAGAGUAAGCACCGGCUAACUUCGUG
rnacentral:rRNA from 1 species